rnacentral:rRNA from 1 species
UACAGAGGUCCCAAGCGUUGUUCGGAUUCAUUGGGCGCAAAGGGUGCGUAGGCGGCGCGGUAAGUCGGGUGUGAAAUCUCGGGAGCUUAACUCCGAAACUGCAUUCGAUACUGCCGUGCUUGAGGACUGGAGAGGAGACUGGAAUUUACGGUGUAGCGGUGAAAUGCGUAGAUAUCGUAAGGAAGACCAGUGGCGAAGGCGGGUCUCUGGACAGUUCCUGACGCUGAGGCACGAAGGUCAGGGGAGCAAACGGG